rnacentral:tRNA from 1 species
CGGAUAGUAGCUCAAUAGGAAGAACACCUGCCUGUCAAGCAGGAAGUUGUCGGUUCGAGUCCGACCUAUCCGG